rnacentral:rRNA from 1 species
GAUGAACGCUGGCGGCGUGCUUAACACAUGCAAGUCGAACGGAAAGGCCCUGCUUUUGUGGGGUGCUCGAUUGGCGAACGGGUGAGUAACACGUGAGUAACCUGCCCUUGACUUUGGGAUAACUUCAGGAAACUGGGGCUAAUAUCGGAUAGGAUCUCCUGCUGCAUGGUGGGCGUUGGAAAGUUUCGGCGGUUGGGGCUGGACUCGCGGCUUAUCAGCUUGUUGGUGGGGUAGUUGCUUACCAAGGCUUUGACGGGUAGCCGGCCUGAGAGGGUGACCGGCCACAUUGGGACUGAGAUACGGCCCAGACUCCUACGGGAGGCAGCAGGGGGGAAUAUUGCACAAUGGGCGGAAGCCUGAUGCAGCAACGCCGCGUGCGGGAUGACGGCCUUCGGGUUGUAAACCGCUUUCGCCUGUGACGAAGCGUGAGUGACGGUAAUGGGUAAAGAAGCACCGGCUAACUACGUG